CAUCCGUUUUGGUCGCACACAAUGUCAUCAGGAAUAUCGGUGGACAGAUUCAUCACAGAACUACGUCAAAAGAGCGAAAACUGUGAGUUUGGAAGACAUGAAGAUGACAUGAUAAGGGAUAAAUUGGUGUUCAGCAGAAGUGAUACACAUCUGAAAGAGAGACUGUUACGUGAUAAUGCACUUACUGUCGUUAUGGAUUUUUUUCAACUGGAGUAUAUUUUUACAAUACUUUAUCUCAUUGAAAAGAGAAGGUACGAAUAGAAAUCGAUGGAACUGAAAUUGAAAGGUUGCAGGAAAACAAAUUUCUUGGGGUUAUAAUAGAUGACAGGCUGAGUUGCUGAGUCAGACUAUGGAGCAGUGUAAGUGAGGAACUCAAGCAAAGUCCAAAUAUCCACUAGUUUAAAAAAAAUGUUCAAAAAUAUGUUGUUUAGCGGGUGCAAGGACUAAAAAUGCCAAAUGGCAAAAGCUAAAAUAAAACAGGAUAAUAAGUUGAAAGUGUAAAUCAAUCAAUCAAUCCUUUUGCUUUUUAAACCCACAUACAGCUAGCUCGACAGUGACUUAAAUAUGGCACUUUAAAGUGUUAUUGAUUGUAUUUUAUUUGUAUUCAUUUCCCCCCUCCUUUUAUGUUUGAAAUAUGUUCGGAAUAAAGACUCAUCAUCAACAGUUAUGCAUUCA